CCUACGGGAGGCAGCAGUGGGGAAUAUUGCACAAUGGGGGAAACCCUGAUCCAGCAACGCCGCGUGAGUGAUGACGGCCUUCGGGUUGUAAAGCUCUGUCUUCAGGGACGAUAAUGACGGUACCUGAGGAGGAAGCCACGGCUAACUAUGUGCCAGCAGGCGCGGUCAUACGUCGGUGGCGCGCGUUCUCCGGAUUUACUGGGCGUAAAGGGAGCGUAGGCGGACUUUUGAGUGAGAUGUGAAAUGUUCGGGUCCAACUUGAGUGUUGCAUUUGAAACUGGAAGUCUAGAGUGCAGGAGAGGAGAGUGGAAUUCGUAGUGUAGCGGUGAAAUGCGUAGAGAUAAGGAAGAACACCAGUGGCGAAGGCGAUGCUCUGGACUGUAACUGACGCUGAGGCUCGAAAGCGUGGGGAGCAAACAGGAUUAGAUACCCCAGUAGUC
rnacentral:rRNA from 1 species